CAUUUAACAAAGUGAACUUUGUACCAACACUUAUAAUUUUAAGUGUAAUAUGGAUAUUGAAGGAAAUUUUGUUGUCAUGUUCUUUCUGAAUAUUCAUUGCAUCUAUUACCUUUCUAGUAAUUCUGUUUCUGAGUGAAAUUGUUGAAUAUAAGAAAGCCUGCCAUGAACUACUUUCUCUCCUUCUCCAAAGCCAGAAAUGAAUAUUUUAAAAAUCCAUUGGAGACUCUUGGCUGGGAAUAGGGUUACAGAAUAUAUUUUAUUCCAAGUUUUGAAAAGCAAGAUAGAAUUUCCACCUUUCCAGUCUUUUAACCUCUGACUUGUUCUCCCUGAUUUCCCCAAGAAUCCCCCUGAGUUUCACUUUUGGAGUGUUUGAGUCCUCCCAGAACAUCUGGGUAUAAUCCUCCCAGGCAAGACGUGAAUUCAUUUGGAGUAGGUGGUGCUUCUUUUUUAGAAAUGCUACUCCCUCUGGGCUUCCAUUGCACCUUCCUCAGGUUCAAGUCAGAAUCAUUGUUAGGCUGAAGAUUCAGGGCAGCUUCUAUCUGCUUGUCCCAAGGACAUUUAAAAGAUAGCUUAUGUUGUCUUUGGUAUUGUUAAUUAACCUUUGCUCAUUUAGACCUUCAGUUUCCCAUCCAAAUAACUACUUCUUUUGAAUACUGGUUUGACUCCUUGUAAACUUUCUCUCUUUUAGGGUAGACAUGGGCCUCUGGGGAUCUUAGUGUUACUUAGAAGCCACAUACUGGGUUCUGAAGAUCUUAAGGCCCUUGUGGAGUAUUUCUUUAGUUUAUGUUGAGUCGGAGUUUUCUGUCAGCCACCUGUGUGCAGAUGCUCAGUAAGCACAAUAUUUGAUAGGCAUAUUUCAAUAUUAUAUAUC
rnacentral:lncRNA from 1 species